rnacentral:rRNA from 1 species
GAUGAACGCUGGCGGCGUGCCUAAUACAUGCAAGUCGAGCGAAAGGACGAUAAGCUUGCUUCUCUGCUGUUAGCGGCGGACGGGCGAGUAACACGUAGAUAACAAACCUCUAAGACUGGGAUAACUACGGGAAACCAGAGAUAAUACUGGCUAAUAUUUUGAACCGCAUGGAUCAAAAGUGAAUGACGGUCUUGCUGUCACUUAUAGAUGGAUCCGCGCUGGAUUAGCUAGUUGGUAAGGUAACGGCUUACCAAGGCAACGAUGCAUAGCCGACCUGAGAGGGUGAUCAGCCACACUGGAACUGAGACACGGUCCAGACUCCUACGGGAGGCAGCAGUAGGGAAUCUUGCGCAAUGGGCGAAAGCCUGACGGAGCAACGCCGCGUGAGUGAUGAAGGUCUUCGGAUCGUAAAGCUCUGUUAUUAGGGAAGAAAAUAUGUGUAAGUAACUGUGCACAUCUUGACGGUACCUAAUCAGAAAGCCACGGCUAACUUCGUG